rnacentral:rRNA from 1 species
AGCAGUAGGCCGCGGUAAUACGGAGGGGGCUAGCGUUAUUCGGAAUUACUGGGCGUAAAGCGCACGUAGGCGGCUUCGCAAGUCAGAGGUGAAAGCCUGGGGCUCAACUCCAGAAUUGCCUUUGAGACUGCGUCGCUCGAAUCCGGGAGAGGUGAGUGGAAUUCCGAGUGUAGAGGUGAAAUUCGUAGAUAUUCGGAAGAACACCAGUGGCGAAGGCGGCUCACUGGACCGGCAUUGACGCUGAGGUGCGAAAGCGUGGGGAGCAAACAGGAUUAGAUACCCCGGUAGUCCCUGUCUCUUAUA